CGUAGAGGAAAUUUAAAGGAAAGACCAUGUUAGCCCUGGCCAUCUGCAGUGGCAGGGGCUCCAAUUACAGCGCGCAGUCACAUCUGCUCGCUGACUGUGCUAAUCAACUCUUUUGGAGCCUCCCAGGACCAAUGCAGGCCGUCUUUCUUUUCAAGUCCUCCGUGCAAUUGCAGAAAGAAUCCAGAUGCCAGAAGAAUACACUCAUAAUUGUGGGAGACCAGGCACUGCUGGAAAAGAUGAAUGUAUUUGGGGGAGCAUGGGUCUUGAAAUCACAUUCCUAAGGAACAAUUUUAAAAUGAAAUACCAAACUGUCUGGUAGAGCAGUUGCUGCCAUGUGCAAAGAUUUCUGUGUGACCCAUGAGCUGCUGU